rnacentral:rRNA from 1 species
UACGUAGGGUGCGAGCGUUAUCCGGAAUCAUUGGGCGUAAAGAGCUCGUAGGCGGUUCAGCAAGUCGGCUGUGAAAGUCCGAGGCUCAACCUCGGAAUUGCAGUCGAUACUGCUGUGACUCGAGUCCGGUAGAGGAGAAUGGAAUUCUCGGUGUAGCGGUGAAAUGCGCAGAUAUCGAGAGGAACACCAGUAGCGAAGGCGGUUCUCUGGGCCGGCACUGACGCUGAGGAGCGAAAGCGUGGGGAGCAAACAGGAUUAGAUACCCGCGUAGUCC